rnacentral:rRNA from 3 species
UAACAAGGUUUCCGUAGGUGAACCUGCGGAAGGAUCAUUC